rnacentral:lncRNA from 1 species
AUGGCACUAGAGUGUACUAUGGUAUUUAUACGCACACAGAUAAUCCACAAGCGCAUGGAUACCGUUAUAGCUUUUACCCGGUUAAAGGUUUUAACGUAUCCACAAGGAAACGAAGAACUGAUCUACGCUCUAACUUAACCAAGAUAAGUAAAUAGGUGUAAAUAAGAAAGAUGGUAGAAUCGAAUAAGAACAAUAUUAAAGGUAAGAUAACAGUGAGUGAUAAAAUAGGAAUAGAGAAUAGAGCAAUUCUAGUAUAUGGGCGAUGGUAGUAGAAUAGAGAGGAUAACUAUGGUUUCUCUACUUCAAAGGGGUAUGUCUAUGUCUGGGACGAACCACGUGAUAAGAGUACACCACAAAGGAUGCUUAUCCUUAGGCUGAUAAACCCUACCCGUCCUGCUAACGAGAGGUGGACUACAGAGGACCAACGUAACUGUCACCUACGUGGCCUACCACACGAUCCAGCUAGACAGGGGAUAUCCACAAGUAAUCUAGAUCUAAGCACCUCGCUUACACCUAUACUACAACUCUCACCUAUAGCGUCCUAUAGAUUAGAAUACUCAAAAGAGUUGUGAACCAGAACAUACAUAAUUAGUAAUUGCAUAAUGAAUUAGAAGUAGAUUACCAGAGUCAUCCCAUGAGCAAGCUUGAUUAGAGCUUGAUCAUGAUGAAGUACAACCGGAGGAAGAACCGACAGGCCGGCCUCUCCUCCAAUCCUCCCUCGCUCUCCAUCUUGCUACUAUCUAGAUCUAAUCUAGUUGAGAGAAGAGAGGAGAGCUCUCAUCUCUAAACCCUAGCUUUUGCUCUGUCUAUGAAUAAUGAAUAAUGAUCAAGGGGUGCCUCCUCCAGGGGCCAGGGGGUCUGGUUAUAUAGUCCCCUCAACUGAACCUGGGCCGUCGGAUCAAACCAACAUUGAUUGAACGGUUAUUCUUGAUCCUUUAGGUCGGUGGAGAUCUCCCGAGAGAAAGAGUCCUGUUUGGGCUCCAAGUCAGGGCGGGCGCCCAGGGCAGGAGGGCGGGCGCCCUGCCUCUGGCCCCGUUCGGCCUCCGCUUCCUUCCCGUGGCUUCUGGAGUAUUCUAGAUGUAAGAUAAUUGCACGGCACGUUAAUAUCUCUAUGUAAUCCCGACGUGUGGGCCUUUCUUCCGUAUUUCCUGAUAACCCCCUGCAGAAAUAGACACACACCAAAACUCGUGGAAUUCUGUCAGAUAAAACCCUAAGUCUAGAUGUUGAUUUCAUUUAGAUCCUUUUCUUUGUUUAUUUGAUAAUUAAAUUUGAUACUUAAGGACCGUCAACAAACUCCCCCAAGCUUACCUCUUGCUCGUCCCUGAGCAAGGAUAGACUCAGCAAUGGAUCAGAAGUUGUUGCAAUAUCUUUCACCAUAGGACUUGUAACCGUCACUUCUGUCUUGAGUAGUUAAAAGAUAGAACAGUCUAGCCAAGUGCCAUGUCUCUUAUUCUUGAUCAACUAUAGUUCUGGAGUUCUUGCAGAUUUUCAAAUAAAACUCAGAGAUUCCUUGUAUGACUCUCUAAAUCUCUCUUUUGUGGUAUUUCUAGAUCCUUACCAAGGCAGUGAUGGUAUAUGCCUUCUCUCAAGAUAUGUGGUAUUUGUGGUAUAAGGCAUAGUGACAUUGUCUUCUCUCUCACCCUACUCUAAUAAGGCUUUAAUAUCUGGAGCUCAUAGGUGGGAGAUAAAGUAUACAUACUUACAAAACAUUUAUUGUAUAGUCAAACCAUGGAUCCAAAGAAACAAAUCAAUAAGCCAAAUCAAGAUGUGCAUGUGUGGCGAAUGAAUAGUGUAUGGUGAUGAUGGUGAUAACAAUGGUGAAAGUCUAAUUCUACUUUUGCUCUUUUGAGGGGAUACAUACCUUCCUUGCUUUUUGAAACUUUAUGAGGAGAAUGAGAUGCUCUAUCUUUUCUUUUUCUUUUCUCUCAGGUGGGUAUCUUGUACCCCUAAUUCUACUGUCGGACACUUGUCCAUUUUUACCUCUCGUCUCACUCUCUCUUUUUUUUCUUUCGAGGUUCCGGACACUUGCCCCUUUUUAUUUCCUCGUAUAUUUUUUUUCUCUCCCUUCUAUUUUUUUUAGAGCACUCAUCUCAUGAGAUAAUAUAGCAAGUGGUAGUAACAAGAUAACUUGAGCAUUUAUUUCACAAGGAAAAACAGAAAUAUUUUUGGUUAUUCUCUCCCGGAUUAGGAGUAGAAUAUUUUUGGGUGGUUCUGGAGAUGGAAAUGAGUGGAUAUAUGUGGAUGGUACUUCCGGAGUAGAAGUAGCAUAUAUGAGUGAAUGUGCAAGUGAAAUCUUGAUUUAACCACAUGACAAGCUCCUAAGGGUCUACACAGCUUGACCACACUCAAUGCUCAUAAACAGUAAAUAGUAAAUGUGUGGCUGAAUGUCUAGCAAGCAUGUAUAUAUGCCUGUGGUAGGAGUUUAAACUUUCAUCAUACAGAAACUCAUCAUGCAAUAUUUUAAAGAUUUUUCAAAGAUAAAAUUCUCCAGAAUUCUAGCAUCUCUAGGAACAGAUAAACAACAGCUCAACCUUCCCAUAUCAUAUCCGUUAACAACUUAGAUUUCAGAUCAAGGUUUCAUCCCACAAGUUUAGAUCUAGAGCAAGCUUUAAAUUAUAACAGUUAUGUCUAAACUUGAGAGAGAACUUUAAAUUUGCAAAUUAGGCAGAGCAACUAUUCAUCAUAUCCAUGCUAGAGUUUUAUUAUUAAGAUUCAGAUUAGCAUAGCCACUUUAUUUAUUUAUUAAACACACUAAGCAAAAGAUAUAUAUAUAUAUAUAUAAGCACGAAAUCUUUAUUUGGUUUUUUAUAGUUUAUGUAUUUUAUCAUUCUAAUAUAAUAUAAGUAUAAAGAUAUGUAGAAAUACUUAGCGAGAUAAAUGGGGGUGCUCUCCCCCAAGCUGAAUUUUGACGUAAUUUCUCUUGAUGUAGCUAGCAGGUGGCAGAGGUGUAUUUGAAAGUCAGCAGCAUUCUCACAGCGAUUAGAAUGUCCUCCGUCUGCUAGUCUUCUUGAUUCUUAAAUUCUGUGGAGCUCAAAUAGACAACAAAGCUUGUAGAACUAAUUAAGUGUUAGCAUAAAUAUCUAGCCUUCAUCAUGUUGAGCUUCCUCAAUAAACAUUACUCCCUAUUUUUAUAUUUUUAUUUUAUAAAGCUGAAAAGAAAUAUUUAUUUUAUUUUUAUGCCACCACAGUGAAGGAACUUAUGGGUUUUAUGCCACUCGUAUACUCACAUGGGGCUUAGUAUUUUUUAACAUUUUUAUUUUCCUUUCAAGAUAGCAUGAUUAACUAAUAAUCUAUUUAAGGAAAGUAAAUAAUUAAAGGGAAAAGGGAAUGCAGAAAGGAUAAAUAUGGAUAACUACCGAUCUUACCUUUCGGCGAUGGUUCAAUGUUUUAAGUCUUCUUAACAAGACUUCUCACCGUGUUCAUUCUUCAGGUGCGUCAUUUGAUUAAGGUGCGGACCUUGACGUCUGCACCUCUUCGUUUGCCCAGCAGUUCGAAGUGCGGCGUUGGCAGUAUCCUGCUCAGUGUGUUUGUGCUCGUAGAUCUAGGUCUUUUACUUGGUAGAGUCUGAGAGUUAUAAAACUCCUCCGUGUUUUGCUCGAAGUGUACCUGCUCAUAGAGACAAGGCAGAGAUCAAGUGUAUGGGUCCUGUUGGUGGAAAACACCAACAAAACCAAAAGUGUAUUUGUUCUUCUCUAACCUUAAGCAUGGUGAGCAAGACAAAGUUGAUGAAUGAUAAGUUCAUGAGUGUAGCAUCUAAAAUAUUUGUCAGAUCAGAUCGCUCAACCUUAUAGAAAGAUAAUCUAUCUAUUUAUAUAUCUUUUUCUUUAUAUCUCUCAAAGAUUGAAUGUGUAACAUUUUAGCUCAUAUGAUUAGGAGUGUGGGAUCAUGGAGGUAGUACUAAGAACAAGGAUUAAAGGACUAAACAUGUUGAAUCAGUUGGGUUGGUUAAUCUAGAGAUGUAAAUCAUACAUGUUUGUCUCUUUUAUUUAUAUGAACGCCAAAACCAAAGAGAAGCUUAUAAAAGUGAUAGUCAAGUACCUUAAGAUGU